CAGCAGCCGCGGGAAUACAGAGGGUGCGAGCGUUAAUCGGAUUUACUGGGCGUAAAGCGUGCGUAGGCGGCUUCUUAAGUCGGAUGUGAAAUCCCUGAGCUUAACUUAGGAAUUGCAUUCGAUACUGGGAAGCUAGAGUAUGGGAGAGGAUGGUAGAAUUCCAGGUGUAGCGGUGAAAUGCGUAGAGAUCUGGAGGAAUACCGAUGGCGAAGGCAGCCAUCUGGCCUAACACUGACGCUGAGGUACGAAAGCAUGGGGAGCAAACAGGAUUAGAUACCCCGUAGUCCCUGUCUCUUAUACA
rnacentral:rRNA from 1 species